UACAGAGGGGGCAAGCGUUGUUCGGAAUUACUGGGCGUAAAGAGCGUGUAGGCGGCCAGGUAGGUCUGCUGUGAAAACUCGAGGCUCAACCUCGAGACGUCGGCGGAAACCAUCUGGCUAGAGUCCGGAAGAGGAGAGUGGAAUUCCUGGUGUAGCGGUGAAAUGCGCAGAUAUCAGGAAGAACACCCGUGGCGAAGGCGGCUCUCUGGGACGGUACUGACGCUGAGACGCGAAAGCGUGGGGAGCGAACAGG
rnacentral:rRNA from 1 species